UAGGUGAGCUUUGAAAAUUCCUAUGCUUGGGCUCCACCCAGUGUGAAAGAGAGUCUCCUUCUGGCUACCUUCGGAUCAAGAUGUAGAACUCUCAGAUCCUUCUCUAGCAUCAUGUCUGGCUGCAUGCUUCAAUGCUUCCUGCCAUCAUGAUGAUGGACUGAUCCUCUGAAACUUGGAGAAAAAGGCUGAAGAGAUCCAUGCUACUGAUUGUAAGUCAUCUAAGUUUUUUAAAAGUGGCAACACAAUGUGAGACUCUGAAAAAAAAAAUGUAACAUGUAUGUUUUAAUUCCUAGAAAAACCACAAAAGAAACACGGAAUGUCAUGGGGGAUUAGGGGUCUCAGAAGUUGGGGAGUAAGACUCUGCUGUUGUCCCAACCAUUGGACAGACUCCCUAGAUUUCAUUUCUCUAUCGUAUUCUUCCUUUCUUUCAAACAGAUGCUGCUUACCUGUCCCUCACCCAUCUU
rnacentral:lncRNA from 1 species